CAGGACGUAGUUAAAUAGUAAAACGUCUCCCUUACACUGAGAAAUCGCCCGUGCAAGUCGGAUCGUUCUGAA
rnacentral:tRNA from 1 species